rnacentral:rRNA from 1 species
GACGAACGCUGGCGGCAUGCCUAACACAUGCAAGUCGAACGCGACCUUCGGGUCUAGUGGCGCACGGGUGCGUGACGCGUGGGAACCUGCCCUUAGGUUCGGAAUAACUCCCCGAAAGGGGUGCUAAUACCGGAUAAUGUCUUCGGCCCAAAGAUUGAUCGCCUUUGGUUGGGCCCGCGUUGGAUUAGCUAGUUGGUAGGGUAAAAGCCUACCAAGGCGACGAUCCAUAGCUGGUCUGAGAGGAUGAUCAGCCACACUGGGACUGAGACACGGCCCAGACUACUACGGGAGGCAGCAGUGGGGAAUACUGGACUAUGGGCGAAAGCCUGAUCCAGCAAUGCCGCGUGAGUGAUGAAGGCCUUAGGGUUGUAAAGCUCUUUUACCCGGGAUGAUAAUGACAGUACCGGGAGAAUAAGCUCCGGCUAACUCCGUG